UUGAACAGGAGCCUCCCAGCAUUCUUCUGUGGAUAUCCCAAAGGCGAUUGGUUUGGGGCCGAGUGGUGUGAAGGCAGGAAGACACGCCCAGCCCAAGACGGCCACUUCUGGAACCGCCCAGGCUGGAGCAGCGGCCAAGUGCCUUAGCAUGGAAGAAGAGAGCCUGUGUUCAGGGGACCAGGCGGGUUCUGCAUCCGUGGAUUCAAUCAACUGCAGAUGAAAAGUUUUCAGAAAAAAUCCCCCCAAAAUAAUAAUACAACUAAAAAAAGACAUAAAAACAAUACUGUAUAACAACUAUUGACAUGGCAUUUACAUUGUGUUAGGUAUUAUAAGUAACCUAGAGAUGAUUUAAAGAAUACGGGAGGAUGCACGUAGGUGAUAUGCAAAUACCACAGCAUUUUAUGCAAAUACCACAGCAUUUUAUGUCGGGGACUUGAGCAUCUGCAGAUCUUGGUAUCUAUGGGGGUCCUGAAACCAAUUGCCCUCUGACAUUGAGGGACGACUUUAUAUAAAAUAUAUGAAUACUUGCUCGUAAAAAAAAGUUCAAAUGGAGGAAAAGAGAGAAAGUUUCCCCCAUUUUAUUCCCCUCCUGAGCUAUUAUCACCAUCAUUGGUGUGGAUCUUUCUAGACCCUUUUCUGUGUACCAGGAGCCUGUAUGUAUACAUAUUAAUAUAUAUUUUACAUAACUUGAACUAAGUGUAAGUGAACUUGAACAUGUAUAAUUAUCUUGCAAUUUGUUUUUCAAUUCAAAGAUACCAUCUGAAAAAUUUUCCAUGUCUCAGCAAUAAAUCUACCCCGCGUUUUCCUUCA